GAUGAACGCUGGCGGCGUGCUUAACACAUACAAGUCGAACGGAAAGGCCCCAGCUUGCUGGGGUACUCGAGUGGCGAACGGGUGAGUAACACGUGGGUGAUCUGCCCUGCACUUUGGGAUAAGCUUGGGAAACUGGGUCUAAUACCGCAUAUGACCACUUCUUGGAUGUGGUGGUGGAAAGCUUUUGCGGUGUGGGAUGGGCCGGCGGCCGAUCAGCUUGUUGGUGGGGUAAUGGCCUACCAAGGCGGCGACGGGUAUCCGGCCUGAGAGGGUGUACGGACACAUUGGGACUGAGAUACGGCCCAGACUCCUACGGGAGGCAGCAGUGGGGAAUAUUGCACAAUGGGCGCAAGCCUGAUGCAGCGACGCCGCGUGGGGGAUGAAGGCCUUCGGGUUGUAAACUCCUUUCGCUAUCGACGAAGCCACUUGUGGUGACGGUAGGUAGAUAAGAAGCACCGGCUAACUACGUGCCAGCAGCCGCGGUAA
rnacentral:rRNA from 1 species